GGCCUGGUGGUCUAGUAGUAUGAUUCCUUCUUAGGGUUUCUUAAAUGGAGGAGGUCCCGGGUUCAAUUCCCGGCCAGGCCC
rfam:Pisolithus tinctorius Marx 270 unplaced genomic scaffold scaffold_8, whole genome shotgun sequence.